rnacentral:rRNA from 1 species
UACGGAGGGUGCGAGCGUUGUUCGGAAUCACUGGGCGUAAAGCGCGUGUAGGCGGCCCUUUAAGUCCGAUGUGAAAGCCCGGGGCUCACCCCCGGAAGUGCAUUGGAUACUGAAGGGCUGGAGUACCGGAGAGGAGGGUGGAAUUCCUGGUGUAGCGGUGAAAUGCGUAGAUAUCAGGAGGAACACCAAUGGCGAAGGCAGCUCUCUGGGACGGUACUGACGCUGAGACGCGAAAGCGUGGGGAGCGAACAGG